ACAAUUUUUCCCAAACCAAAUAUUUUGUUUGUGAAUCGCUUUCUUUGAACUAUUUUUUUAUAUGCGCCGCUUUUUUUGACACCGAUACACUGUCACCUCCACCUUUGUUAUCUUCAAUUUGCUGCGUUUGCACUAUUUUUAUUCUCUUUUAAUUUGAUAAAAAUUAAGAGCUUUCAGAUUCAUAUUCAUUAUUACUGAAGAAAGGUUUUUGAGGAAUGAAGAUGGUAUAAAAUUUUAUGCUAAGCAUUGAUUCUGAGAAUUUUGUGAUUAGUUUUUACAGUGUGAACUUUGUGUUGUGGCAUACUGUUUACCUAGGUGCAUGAAGUAGCAAUUUGCCAUUGCAUAUGUGCAAUUUUGAAAAUGUCAGCUUAAGAAAUGUUUAUACAUAAUGUCUUGGAAGUUGAAUGCAUCCACCAUUCCUUUAUAUUGACCUUUUGUUUUGUUUGUCGAUGUAGGUUAAAUUGGGGAGUGAACAUUGAAUUAAGACCGUUCAAGUGAAUAUUUUAUUUGAAGUUAUAAAAUUUAGUUACUGUCACAAGUAUGCUUACUUUUGAAGGAGUCUAAGGUUGGGGCGGGGGAGGGAAAAUCCGCUCUCGGCUUGCCUCAUUGCCUGUGUGUUAGCAAUUCUGCAUGUGAUGAUUCAGUGCGCACAGAAAAAGCUUGAUUAUAACUACUGCUUGUUUAUAGUUAUUGAGAAGGGUUAGUGGGGAAAGUUGCUAGCAGACUCAAAAUGUCUUGAUUGUAGCUACUGCUUGUUUCAGAUAAACAUGUUUUGCUUCUCAAAGAAGGAUCUCUGUUUUCAGUAACAUGGUGGGGUUUGUUGUAAGUGGGCAGCGGCCAGACAACUGUAGCUAUGGAAUCCACAGGUGUCGAGUUUUUUAUGCCUCACAUUUCUACUAAUUCCAUCUCACAUUUUGUCAUGUUUAGCUGUUGAUUUAGUUUAAUUGUUUAUUUUCAUGCAACUAUUAAAAAGGCAUAAAUUUUGGGGUUUUGUAAUUAGGAAGACAUAAAGUAGUAUGCACAUUGAUACUGUGUUUUUGGAACCGUUUUGCUGCAUUUGCACUCUUUAUUUUUCUUCUCUCUUUUGAUUUGAUAUAAAUUAAGAGCUUUCAGAUUUAUAAUAAUCAAUACUGAAGAAAGGUUUUUGGGGAAUAGGGAUGGUAUAGAAUUGCAUAUUAAGUAUUGAUCGUGAGAAUUUGGUGAGACAAUGACGAGUCUUUACAGUGUGAACUUUGUGUUGUGGCAUACUAUUUACCUAGGUGCAUGAAGUAGGAAUUUGCCAGAGAAUAUGUGCAAUGGUGACAUGAAGCAUCUCUGUUUUACUAUUAUUAAUUUACUUGCAGUCCUAGUCUCCUAUAAUUUAUUUUGAUUGCCAUUAGGCAUGGUAAUAGGACCUACACGUAUCCGAAGCCGCUGAAUUUGCAUUGAUCUAGAAUGAGUUUUCCUCAGAUACUCUUAAGCCUUUGACAUGGUUUGUUACCCAAUUUUGAACCCUGAAGAGAAUUUGGUUGGGUUUUUGUUUUUGCGGGAGUGUAGGGUUUGGAUGGGGGAUGGAAAACCAUAAACCCGUCCUUGGCUUUGCCUCAUUGCCACAUGUAUUUGCAAUUCUGCAUCUGAAGAAGGUAGAUGCUUUGCAGUUGGAUUUGAAGGACAAGGAAGAGUCACUUCAAGACUUAGAAGAUCUGAACCAAACACUGAUCGUUAUGGAGGGAAAGAGUAUUAACGAGUUGCAGGAUGCUUGAAAAGAAUUGAUUAAUGUAAAAAAAAAAUUCCCUUCGAAGUUCACUCAUUUGUUGGAUUAAUUUGGAAGACUAAUGAUCAUCUAGUUUACUUGUCUGGCUCAUUGGCUGGUAAA